CUAACUUUAACCUAUCCUCAUUUAGCUGAAAACCAUUAGCCCUUGUCCUGUCACUGCAACCCUUGAUGAAGAAUCCCCUCUUCAUCUCUCCUGUAGGUGCUCUGUAAGCACUGCAAAUGCCACUAUAACGUCUCCCCGGAGCCUUCAUGUGUCCAAGUGCCAUAAGCUGGGGAGCACAAGACCAGCUGCUGAAUGGAUCCAUCUCAUAUACAGGAUAUACACUCCCAGUGAAGGACUCACUCCACCAGGAAGGGGAAAAGGUACCUCCUGGACAUACAUUUUCAGGCUCACUACUGGAGGCACCUAGGCGUGCAGCGUUGCAGAGGCCUUGCCUCUCUUGGACUUCCAGAUCCAGCAGAAUGUAUGUAGGUUGCUCCACACAUAAUGCCUUCUAUUUAUUUCCACGGAAACUACAGUGGAUACAAAGGGCACAAUAACACAGUUUGAUAGAGCAAAUUCUUAAAUACAAAACACGAUUUUUCAGCUGUGACCACCAUGAGCGUUGCAUUUUCAACAGUGAUGAAAAAGAGCCACACAUAACAGUCUGCACCAGUGGAAGUAACCCGCUGUCUCCACUGCUGAAAUGCCUACCACCCACUGCCUAACUGUGCUCACAUCCACUGGUUGGUCUCCAUCAAUGCUCAGCAGGCACACCUGUGCAAUUUUUUCUGCAUGAAGGAAUUCAGUGACACACCUUUACUUGAUCCACACUUCCACAUCAGAGGCCGUUGUGUCAGACUGCCCCUCUGCUGCCAUCUGUCACACUGCAACAAAAUGGAACAGGAUAUGGGUGGGAAGGUUCUACCCCUACUGCCAUACCACCAACAUCUGCCUGACAUAGUGGGGCAAUGUAAUAAAAUAGGAGGAAUUUGGUUUUGGAGUAGCUCUUGUAUUUUCCUCUAAUAGGAUGAGCAUCAGUUUUAACAACUUAUAACAGGGAUGAUUGUUUUCCUGAAUGCAGUCCUGUACUUCGACAG
ensembl:lncRNA